UACGGAGGGUGCAAGCAUUAAUCGGAAUUAUUGGGCGUAAAGGGCGCGUAGGCGGGGAUAUAAGUCAGAUGUGAAAUUCCGAGGCUCAACUUCGGAGCUGCAUUUGAAACUAUAUUCCUCGAGGAUUGGCGGAGAGAACGGAAUUCCACGUGUAGCGGUGAAAUGCGUUGAUAUGUGGAAGAACACCGGUGGCGAAAGCGGUUCUCUAGCUUAUACCUGACGCUGAGGCGCGAGAGCAAGGGGAGCAAACAGG
rnacentral:rRNA from 1 species